UGAAAAAAAAAAAACCUAACUACACCUUUCCAAAAUCAGUCUCUCAUCUCACACCCUUGCUUCUUUCUUCUUCCUUGCAAAGAAAACUAUCGUCGAUUUGUUUGAAACGCUCACCGAACUCCAGACGAGUUGAAAACUCGAACCAAUGUCCACUGCAUAUUCGAGUUUUUUCUUUAGGGCAUUGACUAAGGCAUAUAGACACUAGAGAAGAGGAUAGACGAAGGCGCGAACAUGGUUUGCCACGAAGGUGCAGAAGAGGGCGGCGUUGGCCUGGGUGCAGAGUCGCCAUGAAUCGAAGAGAAACGGCAUGGAAGAGAUGAACCACACGAGCAUCUGGCGAGACUCGAACUUGUCACGGGCUUAGUUGCUUGAUAUCAGAGCUCUAGUGGAGAUUAGGCAACCGGGAUCCCUAGAUGAUGUUGGGGGUUUGAGGAAGAAGGUAGUGUUGAUUGCUUAUAAGAGUGAUGAUAAGUCAGAGUUCCUUAAGAAGCUUGCAUUGAAGUUUAAGGGACCAGAGAAUAUCAUAUUGUUUAUUCUGGACAACCAGAUUUGAUAGGAACUCUGAACUGGUUGCAAAGUUGGUUAUCGUUAGUGGAUUUAAAGCUGCUUAUGCAAUUAAGGAUGGUGCAGAAAGACCGAGAGGAUGGAAGAACGUAUGCCUAAAAAGGUUCUUGACUUGNUGAAUGUUGAAAAGCUUACAAGGGAGGUUGUGCCCACCACCUUCAGGCAUUUUUGCGAACUUUUUUCUUUAGUUUAAUGUCUCAUUCUGUGUUUUUCUACCUCUUCUUGAACCUAAUUGCCUAAAUUGGAGAGUUCAAAGGUGAACGUUAUUUUAUUUCUUAACAGGUGCCUCCCUUGGCUGUUAAAAAGACUGGAAUAGUUGUGAGGCCCCUAAUAUUGUUGAUGCAAGACCAUGUCCAUUAAUCGGUUCUUUUAAAUGAGUCUUCUUGUUUAAAGUUUUUAUGCUCUCAAUGUCUUUCUAUACCUGUCAAUAGUGAUUAUCUAAUAAGAAAAGAUGGAAAAACAGGUGAUGGUUUUUAAAGGUUGGACUUAAUUAUGAUAUUCUAUUCACUUGAACUUAUUUUUGUAGUUUCUAGUCCAACUUAAUAAAGGUUGGAAUUAGUCUUUUUGAUGUUGAUAAAGCCCAUUGCAUAUCAGAAUGAGGACAUGAUUUUUUUGUUGAACUUAUUUCAAUGUACUUUGGACAAAGUUAUAGAGGAACUUAAAAGUUAUAACGAUCCAUAACAUAGUAGAAAGUUGUGAACAAUGUUGUUGUUGCCAUUAUAAUUGUGGUAACUAUGUGGUGGUAGAGACCCAAAAAAGCCUUGACAUUGCGGCUCCAAUUGGUUGUAGAAAGUUGCUUAAAACUUUUGUUAUUAUAGUUGAUGACAUGGUUUUGGAGGUCUUUGCAACCACAAAUGUUCAUAUGAGCAUAAAUGUAGUUCCAAGUAUUUGUGUAUUUGGUUUAUUGAGUAGGCCUAAUUUGAUGUUUGUUUGGUGGAUUUGACAUUGCUUAAGCUGCUGCAAUGUAAGGACUGCACUUUGACUGAGCCAAAACUACAUUGUUUGCAACCACUUUUUAUGGUUUACUUAUUUGUAACGCUUGUCCACAAACUUGAUAUUGUUUUAUGCAUAGAGCAUAUGAUAAGGCUGCUAUCGUCGAGUAUAUGCUGAUAUAAACUUUAGUUUAAGAGAUUAUGAGGAGGAUUUGAAGCAGAUGAGAGCUUUGACUAAGGAAGAGUUUGUGCUUGUUCUUUAUCGACAAAUCAGUGGAAUAUCGAGGAGAAACGCAACUCACAGAAGUGCAUUAGCUCUUCACAAAGGUGGUCAAAGGAGAACCAAGUAUAAAGACCAUUUAUUGGCAAGACGUUGAUUUGAUUGGAGUGUACUAUGAUGUUGGGGACAAUGUAAAGUUUGGUUUUCCAUGGCCUUCUCCACCACUAUGCUUUCUUGGAGUGUUAUUGACUUUGGUGGGAGAGAUGAAAGAAUGCCAAAGAAGCCAUUUGUUGGGGUACAUCUUAUCUUCUUAAAGGUAAUGCUCAUNAGGCGCCAUUUAUGUCNAGGUGGAAAUGCUGAGAAUGACCAUGCUUGUUAGGAGAGAUUUGAGGACAUGGACUUCCCCAUAGUACUAAGUUUUGUAAUCUGGUUUUGCCUCUUAUCAAAUAUAUAAGAUUUUUAGUUAUUGAACGCAAAUAUAGGUAUUAUUAUUAGAGAACUUUAGGUACUCCAGGUUUUAUUUAUUUAUCUUUGGAAAUCUUUUACUCAUAAAUAGUUAUAAAUGUUUCAUCUAUUAGAUGGUUUUUGGUCA